rnacentral:lncRNA from 1 species
GUUGCCAGAUAACUGUGAGGUGGAACCUAGAAGGAAAGCCAACAGCUAGUCUUCCCUUGUUCCUCAUGGCAGUCAUGUCAGGGAACUAUUGUGUACAUGCCUAUCAUUACUAAGAGAAGCAAGUGAGGCCUUCAGUUUUGAGGAGCUUGUCUAAGAUCCUAAAUAGAAGGUGACGCGCAUGCGUGCUUAAGAAACGGUCUGGUCCUUGUCUGUUUCCGCUUCUUCCCGAGUCUUCUGCUAACCCUUCCAUCCCUACUGAUGCACAGGCUAUUUGUGGUAGAUCCUUGAAAGGACCCAGGAUGAGAUCUCUUCUUCUGUACAGUAGGCAGACUGUCUUGAAGGGACUUCGGAAUAACGACAGGUCCAGGAGAAAGAAAAGAAAGUAAAAGGAGUUGAAUUGCAUAGGCAAGAAACUCGUGCCAAGCUAAUGCUGCUGGUAGCAGACUUUUGUCCUGAAUCACUGCUAUAAUCCUAGACCCCUGGGGAUCUCUGAUGAGGAACUUCACUCAACUGUCCUGGGAGCCGAGUGGUGAGGCUACAACAUGAAGUGGAAAUCCAAGACCGCAUAGCUAGAAAUAAAUCCAAGUGACGAGUGACUUGUACA